GCCGGAGUAGCUCAGUUGGUCAGAGCACCUGUCUUGUAAACAGGGGGUCAGGGGUUCGAAUCCCCUCUCCGGCU
rnacentral:tRNA from 2 species